rnacentral:rRNA from 1 species
GAUGAACGCUGGCGGCGUGCCUAAGACAUGCAAGUCGAGGGGGUUUAGACCCCCGGCGAACGGGUGAGUAACGCGUGGGAACUUUCGUUAAGUUCGGGAUAACUCUUCGAAAGGAGAGACAAUACCGGAUGUGGUCGUAAGACUAAAGAUUUAUCGCUUAACGUGAGGCCUGCGUCCCAUCAGCUAGUUGGUAAGGUAAUGGCUUACCAAGGCUAUGACGGGUAGCGGAACCGAGAGGUUGAUCCGCCACACUGGGACUGCGACACGGCCCAGACUCCUACGGGAGGCAGCAGUGAGGAAUAUUGGACAAUGGGCGAAAGCCUGAUCCAGCAAUGCCGCGUGAGUGAUGAAGGCCUUAGGGUUGUAAAGCUCUUUUACCAGGGAUGAUAAUGACAGUACCUGGAGAAUAAGCUCCGGCUAACUCCGUGCCAGCCGCCGCCGUAA